GGAGGCAAAAAAGUGUCAAAGAAGUACCAAAGAUAUGAAUUAGGUAAAAAGAAUGGAACUAAAUCAACCUCCAUGCAAUUUGAUUCACAGAUUCUUGAUGUAUGUUGGACAUAAUUGAAAAUAUUAAAAUACAAUGAUUAAAGAUGGCAAAAUGAUCAUUAGAGUUGGUCAAACCUUCAUUGUAGAGAAGAAAUCUAAUUACAUGAUAAAAGGCUAAGAGAACCCAUUUAGUAUAAAUAUUAUUGUUAUUCUAAAAAUUGACGCAGAUCCAAAUGAAUCUUUAUUGUUGCUUUUAAUCAUCAAAUCUAC
rnacentral:lncRNA from 1 species